ensembl:miRNA
UGAGGCAGGAGAAUUGCUUGAACCCAGGAGGUGGAGGCUGCAGUGAGCCAAGAUUGUGCCACUGCACUCCAGCCUGGGUGACAGAGCGAGACUCUGUCUCA